GAUGAACGCUAGCGGCAGGCUUAAUACAUGCAAGUCGAGGGGUAGCAAGAUUGUAGCGAUACAAUUGUUGACGACCGGCAAACGGGUGCGGAACACGUACACAACCUUCCUACAAGUGGGGAAUAGCCCAGAGAAAUUUGGAUUAAUACCCCGUAACAUAGCGAUGUGGCAUCACAUUGCUAUUAUAGCUUCGGCGCUUGUUGAUGGGUGUGCGGCUGAUUAGAUAGUUGGCGGGGUAACGGCCCACCAAGUCUACGAUCAGUAGCUGAUGUGAGAGCAUGAUCAGCCACACGGGCACUGAGACACGGGCCCGACUCCUACGGGAGGCAGCAGUAAGGAAUAUUGGACAAUGGACGCAAGUCUGAUCCAGCCAUGCCGCGUGAAGGAUCAAGGUCCUCUGGAUUGUAAACUUCUUUUAUAAGGGACGAAAAAAGGUCUUUCUAGAUCGUCUGACGGUACCUUAUGAAUAAGCACCGGCUAACUCCGUGCCAGCAGCCGCAGUAACAC
rnacentral:rRNA from 1 species